rnacentral:rRNA from 1 species
UACGGAGGGGGCUAGCGUUGUUCGGAAUUACUGGGCGUAAAGCGCACGUAGGCGGCUUUGUAAGUUAGAGGUGAAAGCCCGGAGCUCAACUCCGGAAUUGCCUUUAAGACUGCAUCGCUUGAAUCCGGGAGAGGUGAGUGGAAUUCCGAGUGUAGAGGUGAAAUUCGUAGAUAUUCGGAAGAACACCAGUGGCGAAGGCGGCUCACUGGACCGGUAUUGACGCUGAGGUGCGAAAGCGUGGGGAGCAAACAGG